rnacentral:rRNA from 1 species
GAUUUGUCUGGUUGAUUCCGAUAACGAACGAGACUCUCCCUGCUAACUAGUCGGUUGGAUCUUGAUCAGCGGGUUGCGUGCCGAGUAACUCUCGCUGCGUGUGUGGUGCGUUUCGGGCUUAUGGUUCGUUGCGUGCUGUGCGCGUGGUGUUGGAUGCCUUGGAUCACACUGCACCCCAAGUCCGCCGCUUAUGCUAUAACUCUUCUUAGAGGGAUUCACGGCACUGAAGCCGUAAGAGACUGAGAGCAAUAACAGGUCUGUGAUGCCCUUAGAUGCUCUGGGCCGCACGCGCGCUACAAUGCCGGGCACAGCAGGUGUUUCUCCUGCUCCGACAGGAGCGGGUAACCCUCUGAAAGCCAGUGUUCUUGCAAGUGCUUCCUCCCUCGUGGAGUUGCACAGAGGCGUGCUUGGGCCUGGGACUUGCAAUUCUUUCCCACCAACGAGGAAUGCCUAGUAGCGGCGGGUCACUGAGCCCGCUGUGACUCAGUCCCUGCCCUUUGUACACACCGCCCGUCGCUACUACCGAUUGGGUGUACCAGUGAGAGCCUUGGACUGGCGUCCGUUGUUACUCGCAAGAGUGACAAGCGGGUCCGACGGAAAGAGGUCCGAACUGGUGCACUUAGAGGAAGUAAAAGUCGUAACAAGGUUUCCCGUA